CGCACAUUGCGCCCGCCAGUAUUCUGGCGGGCAUGCCUGUUCGAGCGUCAUUUCAACCCCUCAGGCCCUGGUGCCUGGCGUCGGGGCUCUCCCUCGCGGGAGGCCCCCAGAGACAGUGGCGGACCCGCCGCGGCUCCGAGCGCAGUAGUAGAAUCUUCGCUCAGGAGGCCCGUGGAGGUGCUUUCCGGCCGUAAAACCAGGUCUGCGAAGACCGACCCCACCAAGGUUGACCUCGGAUCAGGUAGGAAUACCCGCUGAACUUAA
rnacentral:misc_RNA from 1 species